GAAGGAACUGGGUCUCUGCCAGGGUUUGAGUCAUCUCCUUAUCUCAGCUGUGGUGGUGCUGCUCUGGGCUGCACUCUGCCUGUGGGUGAUCUCCAGAGAGAUGGAGACCCCUGGAAUCCUGUCCCAGCAGGAAUCAUCGGAUUCUGAUCAGCCAUGGCUGCCCUGGGGAGGAAGGCAGAGGAGGAGAAGGCACCGCCUGCAGUGUGGAGACACUGAUGGGAUAACUGGCAAUGGGGACUCUGUCCUUAGACACUGAUGCUGCUGGACUUCACCAGAUCUGAGAGAGAAGUUGUGCGGGAGAGGGCUGUGGGGAGGAUUGGUGUCCUGACCAGUUUGCUGUCUGGCUAUUCCACUCUGAAGGCCUCUGUCAGCUUUGGAAGAGACAGUUUUGGACCUGUCUGCCCUGAAGACAUCUCAGUCCCAGUCGUGGGAAGGCUGGUGGGACGUCUCAUUCUUUUCCGAUAUUCCGAGGAACAAACAAGUUAUACAGCUUUCCACGCUCUUUUUUCCCUUGCUGAAUUCCUCUACAAGUCAAGGCCAAGGGAUGGGCCAGACCAAUUUGCUUGGGAAGCUGUGACCACCUCCUCGCUGUGUUACCUGAGCAUCAGAGACUGUACCCAGGCCUUUGGAAAAUACCUCCACUCUAGAGAGAGGACAGAUGUCAUCCUGGAGGCCAUUCAGGCCAUGAGAGAUGCCAGCAUCCUUGACAAGCAGGUGCCCAGCAGCAUGCUGGAUGUGGCCAUGGAAGACCCAAAAUUCUGGCUGACAGAUGUGCCCAAGAUAGUGAGCUGCAUUCUUGAAAACCUGCUAUGCAUCACCACAGAGUCAGGCUGUAGGAAAGUGGAGUCACUGUUUCUCCUGAUGACCAACGAGAACCGCUCGGCAGUGGUCAUCAGCCUGUGUGAGAUGACUCUGCAAGGAGACAGGUACUGGCCCUGA
rnacentral:lncRNA from 1 species